rnacentral:tRNA from 2 species
GCGGGCGUGGCGGAAUUGGCAGACGCGCUGGAUUUAGGUUCCAGUGGGGGCAACCCCGUGGAGGUUCGAGUCCUCUCGCCCGCA